rnacentral:rRNA from 1 species
GCUCAGGAUGAACGCUGGCGGCGUGCCUAAUACAUGCAAGUCGAGCGAACAGAUAAGGAGCUUGCUCCUUUGACGUUAGCGGCGGACGGGUGAGUAACACGUGGGUAACCUACCUAUAAGACUGGAAUAACUCCGGGAAACCGGGGCUAAUGCCGGAUAACAUGUUGAACCGCAUGGUUCUACAGUGAAAGACGGUCUUGCUGUCACUUAUAGAUGGACCCGCGCCGUAUUAGCUAGUUGGUGGGGUAACGGCCUACCAAGGCGACGAUACGUAGCCGACCUGAGAGGGUGAUCGGCCACACUGGAACUGAGACACGGUCCAGACUCCUACGGGAGGCAGCAGUAGGGAAUCUUCCGCAAUGGGCGAAAGCCUGACGGAGCAACGCCGCGUGAGUGAUGAAGGUCUUCGGAUCGUAAAGCUCUGUUGUUAGGGAAGAACAAAUGUGUAAGUAACUGUGCACAUCUGAC